UAUGGGCACCAUACAUCUCGUGUCUUCCUCAACCAGCGGAGCUCGACAACACGGGUACUGGACUAUCGAGUUUUUGUUUCUCAAAGUUUUCAAGUGCGUAGUUUCGUUGGGAGGACACCGAGCUAAGUUACUUGAGGGCGAGCCCUUUAUACGGCAAGGCUCGUGAGCGGCUGGAAAUGAUAACAACUGAGUUUGGCCAAGUGCAAAACGGGGAAAUUUUUUACUUUGAUGCUUGAAGGAUUUUUGUACCUGUGUACUGGAGCAGGCACUUGAUGUUUGGCCUCAACUAUUCGGUAAAGUGUCUCUUGAAGACUUGAAGCAUGUAUACGCCACAGUUUUUUCUCGUUCACUAGCCAUUGGAGAGGACUCGACAUUAGUAAUGCUAUGUCUCUCUUUAUUUCUGUUUACGUCCUUGUGUACAUUAUAACGCGGCGUUAGCAGAUACCAAUGCUCGAUUUUUUCAACCACAACGCAACCAGCUUUGCGAAGCUCUAAUUUAACGGGCUUCUCAACUACGCAGUUGUAAGAUACGCCUGAAGUUCUUUCUUUUUCUUUUCCGUACCACAAGCAGGUUACAGAGGACAGAGACUAUGCUGAAAACGAUCAGAUUUGGAUAAACUAUGGUGAUCUUUCAAACGCAGAGCUUGCACUUGAUUAUGGCUUCACUGUGCCUUCACUGAAAAUCCGUAUGACGAGACUGAUCUAUUGACGCAAUUCCCGGAAAUGAACACGAUAAUUGAAGAUCAACUCGGCGGAAACACGCUGUAAAACACAUUCCUUUUUCUUUGAAGAGACACAUUGUUUGUGCUUCUCAGGGGUCAAAAACCACUUCAAGGUUCUCCUGUGUGCCUGGAAGUAGCACGGCGAAUCGAGACGCAUGAAAAAUCAAUCCUGGAACUAAAUCAACACUCAUGGAGGUCGAGAAGUAGACAGCUUCUAGCUGCCGCGUCCUAGAUGGUGAGCUGACGUGAAGCAUUUCGGCUGGAUGGCACACGCCAGGCAUAACUUUGGGAGACAAGAUCUUUUUCUGGUUUUGUGAAGGCCUUGUUUUUCUCCAGGAAAGCACAGCGUUGCUUGAUGUAAGCCGUGGAAUAUAAAUCGGUAAGCGCGUGCAUGCGUCGGAUGAGGCGGUUGGAAAACGACGGGAGGAGCGAGUGCCGUAUAAGAUCGCCGCCCCCGGCUGCCAUGCUGAUCUCUCCUGCUAACGCUGCUUUUUCCUUCUGGCU